GGCGGCGUGCUUAACACAUGCAAGUCGAGCGGAAAGGCCCCUUCGGGGGUACUCGAGCGGCGAACGGGUGAGUAACACGUGAGCAACCUGCCCCUGACUUUGGGAUAAGCCCGGGAAACUGGGUCUAAUACCGGAUAUGACCACUGCGGGCAUGUGGGGUGGUGGAAAGUUUUUCGGUUGGGGAUGGGCUCGCGGCCUAUCAGCUUGUUGGUGGGGUGAUGGCCUACCAAGGCGACGACGGGUAACCGGCCUGAGAGGGCGACCGGUCACACUGGGACUGAGACACGGCCCAGACUCCUACGGGAGGCAGCAGUGGGGAAUAUUGCGCAAUGGGCGGAAGCCUGACGCAGCGACGCCGCGUGGGGGAUGACGGCCUUCGGGUUGUAAACCUCUUUCAGCAGGGACGAAGGGUGACUGACGGUACCUGCAGAAGAAGCGCCGGCUAACUACGUGCCAGCAGCCGCGGUAAUACGUAGGGCGCAAGCGUUGUCCGGAAUUAUUGGGCGUAAAGAGCUCGUAGGCGGUUUGUCGCGUCUGUCGUGAAAGCCCACGGCUUAACCGUGGGUCUGCGGUGGAUACGGGCAGACUAGAGGCAGGUAGGGGAGAAUGGAAUUCCCGGUGUAGCGGUGAAAUGCGCAGAUAUCGGGAGGAACACCGGUGGCGAAGGCGGUUCUCUGGGCCUGUACUGACGCUGAGGAGCGAAAGCGUGGGGAGCGAACAGGAUUAGAUACCCUGGUAGUCCACGCCGUAAACGUUGGGCGCUAGGUGUGGGGUUCUUCCACGGAUUCCGCGCCGCAGCUAACGCAUUAAGCGCCCCGCCUGGGGAGUACGGCCGC
rnacentral:rRNA from 1 species